rnacentral:rRNA from 1 species
CAGCCGCCGCGGUAAUACAGAGGGUGCGAGCGUUAAUCGGAUUUACUGGGCGUAAAGCGUGCGUAGGCGGCUUCUUAAGUCGGAUGUGAAAUCCCUGAGCUUAACUUAGGAAUUGCAUUCGAUACUGGGAAGCUAGAGUAUGGGAGAGGAUGGUAGAAUUCCAGGUGUAGCGGUGAAAUGCGUAGAGAUCUGGAGGAAUACCGAUGGCGAAGGCAGCCAUCUGGCCUAAUACUGACGCUGAGGUACGAAAGCAUGGGGAGCUAACAGGAUUAGAUACCCCCGUAGUCCCUGUCUCUUAUAC